GUGCUUGCUUCAGAAGCACAUAUACUAAAACCAGAACUAUACAGAGAAGAUCACCAUGGCCCCAGUGCAAGGAUGACGUGCAAAUUCGUAAAGUAUUCCAUAUUUUU
rnacentral:snRNA from 1 species